rnacentral:rRNA from 1 species
CCUACGGGUGGCAGCAGUGGGGAAUAUUGCACAAUGGGGGAAACCCUGAUGCAGCAACGCCGCGUGGGUGAAGGAGCGUUUCGGCGCGUAAAGCCCUGUCAGCGGGGAAGAAGAAAGACGGUACCCGACCAAGAAGCCCCGGCUAACUACGUGCCAGCAGCCGCGGUAAUACGUAGGGGGCGAGCGUUAUCCGGAAUUACUGGGUGUAAAGGGCGUGCAGCCGGGAAGACAAGUCAGAUGUGAAAUCCCGCGGCUCAACCGCGGAACUGCAUUUGAAACUGUUUUUCUUGAGUAUCGGAGAGGUAAUCGGAAUUCAUAGUGUAGCGGUGAAAUGCGUAGAUAUUAGGAAGAACACCAGUGGCGAAGGCGGAUUACUGGACGACAACUGACGGUGAGGCGCGAAAGCGUGGGGAGCAAACAGGAUUAGAUACCCGGGUAGUC